rnacentral:rRNA from 1 species
UUACCCCCUCCAGCAAAGGCCCAGGGCCCCCCCCACAUUGCGAUCCAACCCGGAGGCGCUACGCCAAAAAAAUACAAUUCCUGCCAAUGGUGGGUAAUUGAUAGGUACAAUUCUAAUCCUGAGGAGCAUCCCAUUGAGGGCAAGUCCGGUCAGCACCCCGGUAAUCAGGUCCAUACGUAUAUUAGUUGUGCAGGUAAAGCCUCGUAGUGGAUUCCGGUGGGUGUAUGGUCAGCAUUGUUAGUACUGCUACGGCCUACCGUUCGCCGGGGACGAGCUCCUUGGCUUAGCUGUCCGGGACUCGAAUCGGCGAGGUACUUUGAGUAAAUUAGAGUGUUCAAGCAGCUACGCUCUGAAACAUUAGCAUGGAAUAACACGAUAGGACUCUGCUUAUCUUGUUGGUCCGUAAGACCGGAGUAAUGAUGAAGAGGACAGUCGGGGGCAUUCGUAUUUCAUUGUCAGAGGUGAAAUUCUUGGAUUUAUGAAAGACGAACUUCUGCGAAAGCAUUUGCCAAGGAUGUUUUCAUUAAUCAAGAACGAAAGUUGGGGCUCGAAGACGAUUAGAUACCGUCGUAGUCUCAACCAUAAACGAUGCCGACUAGGGAUUGGCAGGUGUUUCGUUGAUGACCCUGCCAGCACCUUAUGAGAAAUCAAAGUUUUUGGGUUCCGGGGGGAGUAUGGUCGCAAGGCUGAAACUUAAAGGAAUUGACGGAAGGGCACCACCAGGCGUUAACUUAGCUGCAAGCUCAGCGCCUCAAAGUCAUAGGGAAACCCUUGGCUAGUACUUGGGUGUUACAUUUUGAUGUCAUCCAAGUGCAACACUGUUCAAAUUGCGGGAAAGCCCUAAAGCUUUGCUAACCAAGCUGUUCUAGAAAUAGAAUAGUGGCCGGGUCAAAGACCUUGGGUACGGUAAAAUCAGCAAAGAUGCAACAAUGGGCAAUCCGCAGCCAAGCUCCUAAGGGUUCACCGAGCCUAAGGAGAAGGUUCAGAGACUAAAUGGCAGUGGGCUAGCAAGACAAUGCUGGCUUAAGAUAUAGUCCGUCCCAGCUGAGAGGCUGCCUAUUAGAGGAAUGCCGCAAGGCAGGAGAGCUAAUAGGAAGUAAGUGUUCAUGACCUUACUUGGAUGCAACGGGAGCCUGCGGCUUAAUUUGACUCAACACGGGAAAACUUACCAGGUCCAGACACGGGGAGGAUUGACAGAUUGAGAGCUCUUUCUUGAUUCUGUGGGUGGUGGUGCAUGGCCGUUCUUAGUUGGUGGGUUGCCUUGUCAGGUUGAUUCCGGUAACGAACGAGACCUCAGCCUGCUAAAUAGUCGAGAGUCUACCUCGGUAGGCGCCUGACUUCUUAGAGGGACUAUGGCGAUAGCCAAUGCAAUAGG